GACGAACGCUGGCGGCGUGCUUAACACAUGCAAGUCGAACGGUGAACCUCUUCGGAGGGGAUCAGUGGCGAACGGGUGAGUAACACGUGGGCAACCUGCCCCCGGCUCUGGGAUAACUCCAAGAAAUUGGGGCUAAUACCGGAUGUUCACCGCUUCCCGCAUGGGUGGUGGUGGAAAGGGUUUCCGGCUGGGGAUGGGCCCGCGGCCUAUCAGCUUGUUGGUGGGGUAGUGGCCUACCAAGGCGACGACGGGUAGCCGGCCUGAGAGGGUGACCGGCCACCAGGGGACUGAGACACGGCCCAGACUCCUACGGGGGGCAGCGGGGGGGAAUGUUGCGCAGUGGGCGGAAGCCUGACGCGGCGACGCCGCGUGGGGGAUGCCGGCCUUCGGGUUGUAAACCUCUUUCAGCGGGGACGAAGCGCAAGUGACGGUACCUGCAGAAGAAGCACCGGCCAACUACGUG
rnacentral:rRNA from 1 species